rnacentral:lncRNA from 1 species
GCCGCCAUGCCCCAGCCUAUUGAUAUUCUUGUUGAGGUUCUCAGACAUAUCUGCAUGGCCUCACACAUGGAGGAAAGAGACCCACAGAGGCAAAAACAAGACAUGGGGUAAAAAUAGACUGGAAGGAAACACACCGAAUGAUAGUGGUUUUUUCUGGGUGUUGAGAUUACCGAGCUUAUUUUUAAAUUUCUUAGAUCCUUCAGGUGUUCUACAACGUAAAAUGCAGACAGGGUGGGGACGUUGGUUGGAGUCAUGUUUUCCCUAAUGUUCUUACUGGUUCUAAAAUCUUCAAGCUAUGCUCUCACCCAAGGCUUCACUUAUUAUUAUUUUAACACUGUGGAUUCAUAAAGAAUGGAAGCCCACACAAGUCCAGGGAAGGAAGGAAAGGCAGACAGAGGCUUAUUUUCAGGCCUGGGCAGUUGCACAGGGUCCCUUGCUUAGAAGGGCCUCAUGCUUGGUUUCGUGUUCUGUGGUCGCUGUCCUGAAAUUCUUACUGAUUUUUGAACAAGGGAUCCUGUAUUUUCAUUUUGCACUGUGCCCUGAAAAUCAUGCCGCCGUCACUAGCCCUGGGAUUCUCCCCAGGACAGGUUUCCCUUCAGCUGCUCUAAGCCUUCGCCCUUGUCCUUGUCCAACCACGGACGUGGCCAUCCACGGAGCCCUCUACGUGCCUCAGAGCAAGUGUGCUUCGGCUGCUCAGGUGUGUGUCUAGAGACUGAUAAAAACAGGGCUCGUGAGUGGGUGCGGGAGGCCCCUGUGGUCUCUGUUCACACACGUACCUACCCUCAAGGCCAUGUCUACACUGGCCUAUUUCAGAGAACCGCCCUGUGCAUCAUGGGAUGCUUUGCCCCACAUCACGGCCCAGCUUGGUUCAGUCCUGGAGCCCUGUGUCCUGAAGCCAUGACCAACCCCAGGCCUGGCCCACCUUCUUCCUCAGUCUCCUCUCCCUCAAGCCCUCCACAGGACCCAUAAACCUUCCAUCUCCAUGUAAUCCUUUUGUGUGAUCCUUCUUCCAUACCUUUGCCCAUGCUGUUCACUCUGCUUGUACCAGCAAGGUUCCUUCCUCCCCAGAUCUGCCCUUUCUAGACCCAUCUCAGAUUCCACCCUUUCUAGAAAGACUUCAGGAAGUAUUUGAGAAGGGCCUGAAGAUGCUGUGGUUGCAUAGAGGAGGAUAUGAAUCACCUCGCUUAGAGGUAUCGGGGAGGGCUCCAUGGAGGUGGUGCCCUCAGGCCAAGGAAGAGAAGAUAUCUUCCGGGCAGAAGGGAGAGUUUGACGGGCUGGUUUGAUGUCAGACAGACCACAGGAUGACUCAAGGUCCUCUUUCCUCUUCUUAAACAUUAGUUGCAGCAAGUCCCACCAUCUGCCUGAGUCUGUUUUCAUCUCCACAAUGGAGGUGGUGAUGCCCAGCACACGGAGCUGUGAUGAGGAUUUAAUGGGGAAUCCAGAGCAUUUAUGGAAGUGCCAGGAGGCCAAGAUUCUGCAUAGUGAGAAGGGCUGAAUAUCACCUGUGAGCCUGCCCCUGCUCCCAAGAACACCCUUUGGACACCUGUGGGCUCUGCAAGGUUGGUGUAACCCCUACAGAUGAGGAAACCAGAGACAGAGAAGUGAAGUAACUCAUGCAGGUGACGGCAGAGGGCAGAGUCAGGACUUGAACCUGGAGAGCCUGGCUCUAAAGCCCAAGCUGGAAUCUCGAUACUCUACACCUCGAUAAGUUUUUGGGAAAUGACUGACUAAACAGAUGAACGCGUUUGCCCCCCCGCCGCCCCAGAGCCCCCUUAAAGCCUACAUGUGGCAGUUUGGGCCCAUUUCCUUGGCUUCCCUCCCUGGAGGGGCACCCACUGCCAGUGUCCCUGCUGAAAUUUAGCAUCAUAUUCCAUGGCGAUUUUCCACCAGUGGAAAUCACAGGUGUUCUCUGGUAUCACAGCGGGGUCAGGGAUGACCUGAAAUAUUGUUCAUGCUCAUCACAACUGCAUGGCCCACCGCGGGGUCUUGUCACUCAGUGAGUUCUUGAAGAGGCACAGACAAAUGGAGUUCAACAAAUGGAAAACAACUGCCUUUAAUUAGCUCCGAGGACUACAAAGGGAACAACGUUAUAAUAGCAGCAACUCCAAGGAAGCAGCCACAGCUCUCAGCUCUCAGACCUGGGGCUGCCGCUCAUCAUCAGCUACAGCUAGGUUUGAUGGGAGUGCCCCCAUUUCAGGGGACAGCAGGCCCCCUUCACUCCCCGACUCAGUCCCCAUCUGCAGCAGCACAGCCUUCCUUGGCCUCACCAGGGAAGAAGAACAGGCCCCGCUCUCAGACAAGCCUUCCCAGAAGCCUGAGGACUCAAACACCCAAAUGUGUCUGGGUCCCUGCCCCGAGCCGGCCACCCAGGCAGCAGCCCUGAAUCACUCGGUCAGCCAGCGGCAGGGCAGGCCAAUGGGCUGGAGGGUAGGCAGGCAGGCAGACCCACCUCUGCAUCUCUGCUGACUGCCUCGGCUGAGGAAAGGCAGCACCAGCCCCCAACCCUGAAGUUCUAGAUCUCAUGCAGCCUCUCUGUUCUGGAACCAUCCAGAGGCACUGCCCUUAUACAUGGUCCACCCCCAGGCUCAGACAAUGAGAAUUCCACAAGCAGAGGGGACUCUAUUUGGGGCACAGAGAGGUUAAGUAACUCCCCUCCUAAGGUCUCUCAGCAAGGAAGCCACUGAGCCGUGGGACUUGAGCUCAGGGACUCUUGAUCCCCAGUCUCAGGUGUCACAGCCCCAUCUGGGCUCCUGCUAGGGAGGAGGAAGGCAGCAGGGGGUGUCUGAGGCCAGGGUGCAUCAGCCCUAAAUGCCAGACAGAGGCAGGAGAAGUCUCCCCAUGAGUCCCAGCCCCAUUAGAGGCUCCAGGUCGGGGAUCCCAGACCCCCUAUCCUUGCUGGGAGACACAACCCAGAACUCUGCAUCCCUGCAGCCACCAAAAAAGGCAAAAGCUGCCCAGAAACACUUUCUCCUCUUCCGUGGCCAAAUCCACGAACUUUCUCGAGGUCUGUCCCCCUGCCCCGUGCAGGUCCAGCUUCAGUGCAGCCCAGCUCUGUGCAGUUUUCCACAAAAGCCUGUGGCUUCCUUCUCCUCCCUCUGCUUCUGAUACCCCAGGAGUUACACACAAAAUGUUGGCGGUGGUCUCCAGGAAGACCCCUGCAUCCCACAGCUCUCCCCAGAAGUUGCCAGCAGUGACCUCCUGAGCCCAGGUGGGGAGUCCCAGGCAGGACAGGGGCUGGGGCUGCAGGCCCUGGGGCCCUGUUAGUGAAGCAGCAAGCCGAGGGUCCCUGAGAGUUUCCCUUGGCCCCUCUGAGGGCUGCCCUUUGAGGUCUUGAGGUCUUGGAGUAUCCAUCGCCCCCACGGCUUACUGUCCCCACCAGCGGAGGAUGAAAGUGCCACAGCGAUGUUCCACGCCAAGAGACCACAGAGACCACCAACCCCUCUUCCCACCUCAGGCUUUCAGAGGCCAGCGGAUUUAGGCGGACAGGCUGUGCGCUUGAGGGCAGCCAGGGCGGUCAGUGGAGGGACGUGGUCCGGGGCCUGGCCACAGCUCCCCACCCAGGGCCCUGGGCUAUUGU